rnacentral:rRNA from 1 species
GCGCGAAAACUCUACACUGCGGGAAACCGCGAUAAGGGGACCCCGAGUGCCAACAGUGGUAGCAAGGGCCGGGCAAGACCGGUGCCAGCCGCCGCGGUAACACCGGCGGCCCGAGUGGUAACCGUUUUUAUUGGGUUUAAAGGGUCCGUAGCCGGCUUACUAAGUCUCUUGGGAAAUCUGGCGGCUCAAUCGUCAGGCGCCAAGAGAUACAGGUAGGCUUGGGACCGGGAGAGGUGGGAGGUACUCCAGGGGUAGGGGUGAAAUCUCGUAAUCCUUGGGGGACCACCGAUGGCGAAGGCAUCCCACCAGAACGGGUCCGACGGUGAGGGACGAAAGCUGGGGGCACGAACCGGAUUAGAUACCCGGGUAGUCCCAGCUGUAAACGAUGCUCGCUAGGUGUCAGGUGCGGUGCGACCGCAUCUGGUGCCGCAGUGAAAACUUGAAGCGAGUCACCUGGGAAGUACGGUCGCAAGGCUGAAACUUAAAGGAAUUGGCGGGGGAGCACACAACGGGUGGAGCCUGCGGUUCAAUUGGAUUCAACGCCGGAAAGCUUACCGGACUCGACAGACUAUGAAGGUCAGGCUAAAGACCUUACCGAAUUCGCUGAGAAGAAGUGCAUGGCC